AUGGCGGCGGACACUGCGGUGACCCGAUCGCCGGAGCGGUCCAAGGCGACCCGCGCUGACGACGACGUCGACCAGGAGGAGGAUAGGGAGGCCAAGAAGAUGAAGACGAAUCUGGACACGGAGGAAGACGCCGACGAUGACGACGAGGAGGAGCUGGAGGUCCCGUCUCCGAUCCGCGUGCCCUACAUCCCCGACCGGCUAAAAAACCGCUUCGGCAUGGCUCAUCCGACGAUAUCCGCCGCCUAUCGGCGCGCCGAAACCAAAUUUCUUGAAAAACGAGAUCGCACGGAGAGGUUGCUGCCCACGCGCCAAUACUUCCGAACGGCUUAG
rnacentral:rRNA from 1 species